AUGGCGGAGGAACCGUCCGCCAAGCGUCAUCAUGCCGAGACGUCGGACAAGAGGAGCAACCUCGUCGACAUUAACGUCCCUGGCGAGAAGCGUGAGUACACCAGAACGCUCAAAGGGGUUGAGCUCCACGGCAAGGAGACGCUGGAGAUCGUCUGCACCAGCGAACCAGACAAGGCCGACGAGGUGAUCUCCAGGCUCUGGAGGAAGCUUGGCGGCAGGUUUCGUAGGAUCGUCGGCGUUGGUGUGCACUACACGAGCAAAGAUGAACCUCCCCAGAUGGCAGCAGUCCUGCAGUUGUGCGUUGACGAACUCUGCUUGGUGUACCACAUCGCAGCGGCCACAAAAUGGUGA
rnacentral:rRNA from 1 species